rnacentral:rRNA from 1 species
GACGAACGCUGGCGGCGUGCUUAACACAUGCAAGUCGAACGGAAAGGCCCUGCUUUUGUGGGGUGCUCGAGUGGCGAACGGGUGAGUAGCACGUGAGUAACCUGCCCUUGACUUUGGGAUAACUUCAGGAAACUGGGGCUAAUACCGGAUAGGAGCUCCUGCUGCAUGGUGGGGGUUGGAAAGUUUCGGCGGUUGGGGAUGGACUCCCGGCUUAUCAGCUUGUUGGUGGGGUAGUGGCUUACCAAGGCUUUGACGGGUAGCCGGCCUGAGAGGGUGACCGGCCACAUUGGGACUGAGAUACGGCCCAGACUCCUACGGGAGGCAGCAGUGGGGAAUAUUGCACAAUGGGCGGAAGCCUGAUGCAGCAACGCCGCGUGCGGGAUGACGGCCUUCGGGUUGUAAACCGCUUUCGCCUGUGACGAAGCGUGAGUGACGGUAAUGGGUAAAGAAGCACCGGCUAACUACGU